CAACUAUAUCAGUCACAAUCGCUGGAUCUCAUGCCGCAGUUUACAGAUAGGCGGAGGUGGCACAAACGUGUUAUUCUCCUGGCAUUGAAUGACACUGGAGCCAAUCAGUUCAUAGUCUUUGAAACACUGAAAUCGGGGAGCCUGAAAUUUUGGGAGUUGGAGAUUGCUGGUCAGCAGAAGAGGGGUGCAGCAGUUGAGGGUCCUUUAAUGUUG